AAUGAAGCCGGGAAACCGGUCCUUCUAACCCUUGAUUAUCAUAGUCUGAGUACUAUAAAAUAGUUAAAACUUUCAACAACGGAUCUCUUGGUUCU
rnacentral:misc_RNA from 1 species